CAAGGGUGAUUUAGUAAAUUUCAGCAUUGCCUAUAUUCUAGAUCAGCGUAGACAUUAAGUUCAGUUCAACAAAGUGGCAAGUCACCGACUUCACCACCGCCUUCACCCGGACCGACCUUGUUCUGUCUUCUUUAACCUAUAGAACCAAAUAUCUCUUCAUUCCACCUUAGUUUAAGAAAAUCCCUCAGAGACUUGUAUAUGAUAAGGAACACACUACAUCUCAUCAGAAUCCUAUCAAAUUGAAAAGACAAUUGAGGAAGCUACACGGGUGAUUCCAGCUUUGAAUCUAUUUCCGUCAGUCAUCUUCGACGGCCAGAAGCUGCAUGUUAGGUUCUUUAUUUCAGUAUGAUGUCUUCAUGAAAGUUUCUCGGAUUCGUGUCUACUAUCUUGUGCCAAAAUUUGACGAUGAUCCAACGGUUAGAUUGUCCUGAAUUGAGGUAAAACCAUCUGCUGUUCGGGGAAAUUCUGUUUUGAGAUAUAAUUUCAAUUCUGAUUCUAAUUCAAGUUUUAUGCUUCUUUCUCCUUUAAGUUCAGUUUCUCCAUGUCUUGGGUUAUCAUUCGAGUUCCUUUCUUGGAGUCUUCCUCUACCUAUGAGCCUACAGUCCGAAGAGUGACAAUCGGUAAGUUAAACUAAACCGAUUGAAUUCCUUUUCUUCUUUCUGCUGGUCAUGUCAUGUUUGAUUAGUAUUAUGCUACAUCAUACCCUUUGCCUCUGCACUCCGAUUACACGUAUUAUUAUUUCCCAUUGUUGGGUGUUGUAUAGAACCUUGCUUCCUUUUCAAUUCUUUCUUGAAGUUCCUCAUUGUAGACUAAUCUGUCAAGAUGUUGCCUAUUAUUGCUUAUUCUUGAUUUUGACAUGAUCCAUUUGACAAUAGACAUCCAAAAGCUUGUUUCAAGACUGAUUUCAUGUCAUUUGGACAUGAGAUGAAUCAUUGGUGACAGUUUUAACCAAGUAUAUGCUGCUGCAAAUUUUCAGAAAAGCUGGCAGUUCAGUCUAUGUGCUUUAAUCUUUUCCCAUACAUCAUGAACUCCGUUUUGCUUGAAAUUUUGAUAUGUUACCUUUGAAUCUGGAAAGUUUCAUACUCAUUGGUCAAGAACUGAGUUUUUAAUGAUUUUGCAAAUAUGAACAGCUCCUUCAUUCUUAUAUUUGUUCUAGUUCAUUUGGUUCCAAUCUUGUCUAGUGAAUCCCCAAUUUUAAGAGCUGUAAAUUCGUGGGAAACCUCAUUUUAAUCCUAGUUCUUGACAUGUACUCGGUACUGGUUCUUAUGAGUGACUUAAGUGUUUAGACAUUGGAAAGGUUUACACAGAAAAUGGUACAUGAAGUGACAAUCUGCGAUGUAUGUUAUUUUAGGAAUUUGGACAAGUGUUAUGGGCUGCUAUCAAUGGAGGACCAGGUUGUUAACAAUGAUGAAGGACUAGUAUUGGAGCAUUAUGUACGUUGCUAUCUUGCUGUUGCUAAAUGAUUUGAGGUAGGGAGCCUUCACCCUAGUUAGUGUUUUAUACACUGCUUUACUAUUUGAAAAAUGGAUUAUGAUUUAAAGCAUGAGUUUAUGAGAUGACUUGAGAGUGAGCGGGGUGUAGUCGGUUGUGCAUAAAACAACCUCCCAAGCCCAUAAACCAGCAGGCAUUCCACCAUUACCGAGGCCGCUACGAAGUACCCACCAAUAAGCAGGGUGGGCCGGGCCCAACCUCAAUUGCAGUCUUGGGCCGGGAACAGUCUUGGAAGGUGUAAGGAAACUGGGUGUUUGAAGUAACAGCAAAGGGGAAUUGUCCCACAUCGGUUUCCAAGCAGAGGAAAGCCCACUCUGAGCCAUAAAUAUGGCCAAGCCACCAGUUUGUCAGGUAAUAAUAACUACCCCUAAUAACUGCAUUCAACCAACUGAGACUGACUUAAUCUUCGGAGAAGGAAAGACCGGAAGUUCUCGGUCGCCCAUGUUAUUGCAGGUCAGCAAGAGGAUAGCCGACCUUCCACCAGGCACAGUAUCAGCUUCUACAAACCCGUCCGGGAUUGUACAGAAACAUUUGGCGCCGUCUGUGGGAAUCUUUACAAAAGCCAGCGUGACUCGAUGGCUGAGUUAUCCGAGCAGAAAGACCAGGAGAGGGAGGUAAUAUUAAGUAAGACCUCGGAAGCUGCAAGGGGAAGUUCGAGAAUUACUGGGAGAACCCUGAGGGAUGAAACACCCGAGCAUGUGUCGCGGGAUCUCAAUCCUUAAGAAAUAGCCAAAAUGUUGGAAAAUAUGAGGGCCCAAAUCACUCGGCUGGAACAUCAAAAUGCCCACGAUCGAGUGGAAGCCUCCAGGCGCGAGCGCAGGUUGGAAAGGGAUAAUGCCACGCUCAUGAGUGCGCUGGCCCGGGGAGUGGAGCAUCGGGAGGCAUUAGACCGAGCGGGGGAGUUGGAUUGGGCGGUCACGUCACAGCAGACCGGCACUCCGGAGGGGGGCGGCCGUAGGACCGUGCAUAUAGGAACGAACUUGUUCCCGGAUGAAAUGCAGGAUGAGGGACCGCUGCCCUUGCCCGAGCCAAUCCCGCAAGUCCAAGAUGGAAGGCAAGGAGAGAUGGAAGAAACCCUAAGAGCUAUCCGGGAUAGCGUGGCGAGUUUGGCUGAAAGAAUCACGGAUGCCGAGAGAAGGGGGACGCGUAACCCAACUCGCGCGAGUUUCGAAGAAAGGGGGGGACAGUUGACGAGAGCGAUCACCCGGUCCGUUAGACCAAGCGCAGCCAAGCCACUGAAACUUAGUUACAAUAGGGAUCGAGACCCCCAUCUCUUCCUCGAUAGUUUCAAGUCUCACACGAACGCUAAAGGGUACCCGGAUGCAAUAUGUUGCAAUAUGUUCCAGGAAACCUUAGUAGGGGAAGCACUAAGUUGGUUCUAUGGUUCUAUGAGCUCCCGUCGAACUCGGUCGAUUGCUUCCAGGAACUGGCAGACAGGUUCGUCAAUAGAUUCAUUUUACGAACGGACGGACAGAACACCACCCAGUUGUUCAAAGUAAAGCAAGAUAGGGGUGAGGGGUUGAAAGCUUUUGUGAAUAGAUGGCAAGGUGCAACGGCCAGAGUCAGGAACUUUGACAAGAAAGUGGCAGAAGAAGCGUUCAUUCAAGGACUGCUUCUCGGGAAAUUUAUGUAUGUAGUAAAAAUCGAAUGUCCACAAGGCUACGAUGAGCUUAUGGAAAUGGCGGUCAGGCAUGCACAAGCAGACCAUGAUACAUAUGGAGGGAUCUCGGCCGGGAAGCGAAAGGUCGGAGGGGAAGGAGGAUCGCCGGUACAAGUGAUCCAAGAGAUAAGGGCUUGGACGGGGGAGCAAGAGUCGAACUCGCACCCAGCUGGAAAGAGGCACAAGGAGAGAAGCUGGGUGAAAGCAAGGAAACAGCAUAACACGCAAAGGAAGGCAAAAGGACCCUACCAAGAUACCGGGUACGCGAAAACGAUACCGGCAGGUGAGGAGCAUUUUUCAACGCUCAACGCCACCUAUGAGGCGAUAUGGAACGAGAAUAAAUCGGUCAUACCGCCUCCCCCGGCCCGAAUAUUUCCCCCAUCUCGGCUCACCAAGGAAGAUACCAAAAAAUUUUAUGCGUAUCACGGGGAGGCAAGUCAUAACAUCAACAGCUGCAUAGAAUUGAAAAAAACGGUAGAGCGCCGGGUGCAAGAAGGAAAAUUGCAGCAGUAUGUGCCCGGGCCUAGGCACGUUGGGGCAAUUGAAGUAUAUGAGACAAUCAACACAAUCCAUGGCGGGUCUCGUAUAGAUAACAGGAGGAACAAGGCAAAAAGAUAGUGCAUGGGACAGAGGGACGGCCGGGAGGUCUAUGCCUUUGGAAGCAGCAAUAGCCAAUGGGUAACCACAGGUUGGAAGUCCGUUACCUUCCUGGAAGAGGAAGAGGAGGGAAUAAGGCCGCACGAGGAUCCGUUCCUGAUAACGCUGCAGCUCGAUCACUAUAUCACAAAGAAGAUCCUCGUUGAUACGGGAGCCUCAGUCAACGUAUUAUUCAGGAAUGCUUGGAAAUGAUUACAUCGAGGAAGCAAUAAGUUGAUACAAAACCAUGAGCCAUUGAUUAGUUUCUCGGGCGAUGUUGUUCAGCGGCUCGAACAGUUUCAGAGUAAGCAUGGAAGGCCGGGAGGGAGUUGCCCGAGCGGUAAUAGAAUUCAUCAUUGUGGACUGUGAGUCGUCUUACAACGGAAUCUUGGGUAGGCCCGCUUUGUGGAAGCUAAAGUCCUUCGUGGCUGGUCAUAUGUUGGUAAUGAAGCUCCCAACUUCAACAUGAAUCAUUACGGUCUGGGGGGACCAGGGGGCGGCAAGGAGCUGCUAUGCGAUAGAUACCGGAAGGAAAAGGUCAGAGGUUACUGUCAGCGAGCCCAGCCACAACAUCCUCCUCGGAUCCUUAUAUUGAUCCCAGAGAUGAUAUCGACUUGGAUGAGGAGCGUCCUGGGUCAGUGGAAAAAACGGAAGCGGUAUCAAUCUCUGACGAGUUCCCGGAGCGGAAGUUGACAAUUGGGACAGGACAUGCACCCAGGGUGCGAGCGGCCUUGAUAGAUUUCCUGAAAAGAAACAGUGGGGCAUUCGCUUGGACAUAUAAGGACAUGCCCGGGAUAUCAAGUGGAAUAGUAACACAUAAGCUAGGAAUCUAGAAAGGAUUCCCUCCCGUGCGGCAAAAGCGAAGAACGUUCAAGCUGGAGAAGUAUGAAGCCAUGAGGGGGGGAGGUUCAAAAGCUGAUGGAUAUCAGGUUCAUUAGGGAGGCUAGAUACCCCUAAUGGUUAGCCAAUGUGGUCAUGGUCCCAAAAAAGUCAACAUGAAAGUGGAGAAUGUGCGUGGACUAUUCAAAUCUCAACAGAGCAUGUCCAAAAGAUAGCUUCCCGCUUCCACGCAUAGAUCAACUGGUGGACUCCACGUUGGGGUUCGAAUUGCUGAGCUUUAUGGACGCUUACGCGGGCUAUAACCAGAUCCAAAUGGAUCCAAGGGAUGAGGAGCACACGGCCUUCACGACCGACAAGGGCCUGUACUGCUAUAAGGUAAUGCCUUUCGGAUUAAAAAAUGCGGGAGCCACUUAUCAACGGCUGAUGAAUGUCAUGUUCGCCGAGUACCUCGGGAAGAUAAUGGAAGUAUAUGUCGAUGACAUGCUGGUCAAAAGUCUAAAAGCCAAGGAGCAUGUAGGGCAUCUAGAGAAAUUCUUCGAGGUCAUACUGAGGUUCGGGAUGAGAUUGAACCCUCAGAAAUGCGUCUUCGGGGUCGUCAAAGGGAAAUUCUUGGGCCACAUAGUCAGCCGGAGGGGAAUUGCAGCCAACCCAGAGAAAGUCAGGGCCAUCUUAGAUAUGGAAAGACCCACGUCGAGGAACCAAGUGCAAUCGUUGGCCGAGAAGGUUGUCGCACUGGCUAGGUUUGUAUCACGACUCACGGACAAGUGUGCCCCCUUCUUCCGUUUGUUAAGAGACCAGAGAUGUAAGGAGAUAGUAUGGGGAUCCGAGCAGGAGGAGGCCUUCAAGCAGAUAAAGGCGUACCUCAUGACUGCACCGGUUCUGUCAAAGCCUAUCCCGAGCGAGAUGCUUUAUCUGUAUAUCGCCGCAUCAGUGUCAGCAGUUAGCUCGAUCUUGAUAAGAAAAGAGUCCGACAUCGAGCACGCUGUAUUUUACGCCAGGAAGGGAUUCACACCUGCAGAGAGCAGGUACCCGGACGUCGAGAAAUUAGCUCUGACUUUAUUGUAACCGCUAGAAGGCUCAAGCACUAUUUCUAGGCGUACUCGAUAACCGUUUACACCAACCACCCCUAAGGCAGAUCAUGCAAAAGCCAGAAAUCAGCGGAAGGUUGGUGAAAUGGGCAAUUGAAUUGGGGGAAUUUGACAUCCAUUACCGGCCGAGAGUGGCAGUCAAGGGCCAAGCAGCAGCUGACUUUAUAUCUAAACUCACACCCAUGAAAGUUGUGGGAGAGUCAGUUGAGCUCACGCCUAUGAAAGUCACGGGAGAAUCAUCGAAGCCCGCCCUUACGGAAUUCGUUGGCGAAUCCUCCCAGGCCGGCCGGGAGGAAAAGUGUCCCGGAGAAGGCAAGGAUAAGUACAUCGAGGAACCGCUGGCACGACUUUGGAAGCUUUUUGUUGACGGAUCAGUGACAAGAAAGAAAUGUGGGGCGGGAAUAAUAUUGGAAACCCUCGACGGAUUCAAGCAUGAAUAUGCCUUAGAGUUCCAAUUUCACGCCUCGAACAAUGCAGCAGAGUAUGAGGCCUUGAUUGGGGGACUUCAACUCGCCCGAGAUAUUGGCGUGGAUAGAGUGGAGGUGUUCAGUGAUUCACAGCUGGUUGUGAAUCAAGUCAAUGGGAGCUUCGAAGCAAAGGAGCCUCAUUUGAGCUCCUACCAAGCACUUUCAAAAGCCUUCAUGCAACGCUUCAAAUCUGUCUCUCUCUCCCACAUCCCACGGAAGAAAAACAGUAAUGCAGAUGCUCUCGCCUGGUUAGCCACCGAAGGGCCUGGGAAAGGCAGAAAGAAGGCAAGGAUAGAGAGGUGCUUGGACAGCCGAGUAUCACUAAGACAAUCUCAGAGUUAUUCAUGGUCGAGGCGGGACCCCUGGAGCCAACAUGGAUGAACCCAAUAGUUAAGUUCAUGAAGGAUGGGGUGCGCCUGGAAGACAGGCGGCAAGCACGAAAAUUACAAUCGAGAUGCGCCAGGUACACACUAAUGAACGGGGAGCUAUACAGAAGAGGUUACAAUUUCUCAAACCUCAAGUGCGUGACAGAGGAAGAAGGAGAAGUAAUCAUGGGAGAAAUUCACGAAGGGGUAUGCGGGAAUCACUCCGGGUCCCGGUCGUUAGCGCACAAGGCACUACACACAGGGUUCUUCUGGCCUAACAUGGGAGCCAUGGCAGAUAAGAUGUCGGCGAGAUGUCGUAAAUGCCAUUUGCACGCUAACGGGAUACAUUCCCCUUCUGUCGCUUUGUCAAUCUUAUUAUCGCCCUGGCCUUUCGCACAAUGAGGCCUUGACCUCAUCGAGAUACUGCCAACAACAUCAGGGCAGUUCAAGUACGUGAUAGUGGCUGUUGACUAUUUCACGAAAUGGGUGGAGGCAGAGCCCCUGGGGAAGGUAACCACCGAGUGUGUGAAAAACUUCCUGAUGAAGAACAUUUAUUGCAGAUUCGGGGUCCCGGAGACAAUCGUUACGGACAACGGCGCACAAUUCAAUAAUAACCAUCUAAUUGAAUUCACGAAGGACAUGUCUUCGCGUCGGUGGCACACCCGCAGACCAAUGGUUAGGUGGAGGCGGUUAACAAGAUCAUUAAAAAGCUCUUGAAGAAGAAGUUAGACGACGCAAAGGGUUUGUGGGCACAAAAACUGCCGGAGGUAUUAUGGGCAAUCAGAACCACAGCAACAGAAGCAACGGGAGAAACUCCUUUCAGCAUGGCCUUUGGCACGGAGGCUGUUUUGCCAAUCGAGACGUCAAUACCAUCAGGAAGGGUCGAAAAUUUUGACGCCACAACCAAUGAGGAAGGCCUCCGUUUGAACGUUGACCUCAUCGAGGAGAAGAGGGAGCAAGCAGACUUACACAACCAAGUCUACAAGCAGCGAGUUGCACGCCACUAUAACAAUAAAGUCAGGACCCGGGUAUUGGGACUAGGGGACUGGGUAAUGAAGAAAAUCAUGACCAAGACGGCAGCCCUGGAUCCGAGCUGGGAAGGGCCGUACGAGAUAGUUGAAGAGGUCGGUCCAACAACUUUCUUUCUCCGGGAUCAGGAUGGGAUAGUCACCGGGCACCCUUGGAACACAGAGCACCUGAGAUUCUACCCAGUGUGAAAGGGGAACGAAACCCACCCUUAAAAUUUACAUUUGUAAUUAUUGCGGCCCCCGGGAGGACAAUAGUCCCGGAGGAUGCCUUUAUUCGUUUUGAAAGACUAUAUAAGAAUGGGGAAGUUAAAUUCAAAUUCCAAGGAUGGUAGUCCACCAGGAGGCAUAAGUCAAUUAAAUCACGAGUAAAUCAUUUAGGAUGGUAAUCCACCGGGAGGCAUAAGUUAAUUAAAUCACAAGUAAUAUCAAUCGGGAUGAUAUUCCACCGGGAGGCAUAAGUCAGUCGAAUACACUGUCGAGCUGGUAAAACCGAGAGGCAGAAGUUAUUAAAGUCCCCAGUAACACCGAGCGGGAUAGGCAUAAUACAAAUAUGUAGAACAAGAGAAGCAAGUAAUAAAAUUUGACGAAGAAUAAUAUAUUAAAACCCGGCAUCCGGGCAUAUACCACCAAUGGGUAUUUACAAAAUCAACCAGGAUGUACUCUCACCGGGAUAAGGCAUGAGGCCAUUGUCUUGCAAGAAAAACCAAAAAGCAAAAGCUAAAUCACAACUUAUGCGUCGCCGGGUUCCUCUUCUUCAUGCUCGUGCGACUCGGCCAAGUUGUCAUCACCAUCAACACCCUCCUCAACAGCCUUCCCGGAAGGAUCCCUUGUCUCAGGCUCUUUCUCGGUUGCUGCCUUGGACUUGGCCUCUCUUUCCUUGGCUUCUCGGGUAGCGAGCAAGUCGGCUGUCAUCUUGGCCUUGUCUAGGUAUCCAAGGCGGCUCCAGACGCCGAACUUUUCGGUGAUUCCACCCUCCCGGGCAGCCUUGAGCAUCGCUUUGAGCUCGUCCGACUCUUUAAAUUUGGCCACAGCAAGCUCGCCCUGGGCGGGCAUUUGGCCUUGUAGGUCAGCGAUCUGGUCGUCCUUCUCCUUCAGCUUAGACCGCAGCUUCGCGUUCUCCCGCUGAAGAGCGUCUACAUCGCACUCCAAGGCGAGAACUCUUUUAGCUUUUUCCUCUAGUUCUUUGGUAUGGAGGCUCAGUUUGGCGAACUUUUCGGCCAGCGAGAGUUUCUCCUUCCUCUCGGCCUCCAAAUCCUUCUCCAUCUUCUUCUUCUCGACCCUGAGAUAGCUGAUCUGGUCGUUUAGGCUGGCCAGACGCUCCUUCAUCUCGUUAGUAUCCUCGCUGACAUCAAUAGCAUAGAUAGCAAAGAGUGCCUGUAAGCAAAAUAAAUAAAAUUAGUUUAGCAUCCCGCGCAGUGAUAAAAGUGGGCAUUAAAAAGAAGAAGCUUUACCUUCAUCAACGCCUCUCGGGCGUAUCGCCGGUUCUGCUGAGGAGUGUUAGACCCCACCCUGAUCCGGUCUAGCUCAAUUCCCUUAAGAUCGCCCACCAUGCUGCGCACGAACUUUUCAUCGGCGCACCCAUACUCAUCCAGUAUCUGCCGGAUGGGGGUCUUUUGUAUCUGGGGAAGAGUAGGAGCAAGAGCACCCAAAGUAACUGGGGGGCCGACCAAGGAUCCUGCUGCCUUUUGCUUCUUCCGGGGUGGUGAGGCCCCGAACACACUCAUGCCGGUCAACGUCACGCCCUCAUCCCGCUGAGACUUCGACUUCUUGGACGACCGUUUCUUUUUCUUCUCGCCCAAACUGACGUUGACAACGUCACCGGUCCUCAAUAGCUCCUUUGCGUCAGCAGUUGGUUUCCCGUACCCUUCAUCGUUGACCUCGAGAAGUAUAGUGUCCUCCGAGACACGGGCGGUAGAGUCUGCGACAUUCACGUCGGUGCGGGAGGCCACUUUCCCUACCCCCAGUAGGCCGCUCAGCAAGUCCAUGUCUGACUCCAUGUCGCGUGGGUGUGAGGGACGGUGUUUACGCUUAGGCACUUUAGCUGAAAAUAAAACCAACAGUCAGAAUCUUGGGUACCAAUAGUCAAAAGGCCAUGGACAAGAGAAAACAGCAACAAGUGAAUCUAAUUUGGAACCCCACCAGGCAUACGUCCGAGUUCACAGUGAACCAAGACAGCCCACCGGUUCAGGUUGUACGAGCUUCGAUCCUCAUCCGAGGGUCAGGCUGCAAAUAAUCGCCCAAUGCGUCGCUUCUUGAUCUCUGACAGUGAGAAUGACUGAUCCCGAAUAUAUCUAAACCGGUUGGGCACAACAUAUGUCAGACAGUUUCUUUGCCAUCGUCCGCCGGCAAGCACGACCUUUGAACGCUAGUUAUUGUUCAUAGAUGUCGGGAGGUCAGUGACGGGAGGCAAGUAUUCCCGGGCAGCAAAUGAAACGCACCCUCGGCAAUUUUGUUUCUUCGAGUAUGAAAGGCGAUACAGGGCGCGAAACUCGUUGAUAGUUGGCCAACCCAUCUCGAACAGAUAGUACAGGCAACAGAGAGACAGCAGCUGGCGCCGUUGGUUUGGGGGAAUAUGCCCGGGAGCAAGUUGAAGCAUGCUGAGCAGAUAUGGCACGCAUUGAGGAAGCGGAAGAGAGAAGCCGUUCCUACACAUAUGUUUGUGCACAACGACGAAGCCAUCUUUCGGGCAGCAUGCCAAUUCAUCCUCAUAUAGCGCGCGGAGGGUAACAGACGACGGGAUUCCCCAGUCUUCCCGAAAUUGCUCUAUUUCGGCCGGGGUCAUGCUACAAUCAGGUUCAUCGCACACUGUGCCGUCCUCCAGUAUGUACCUCCUAGACGACGAAGAGCCGAUUACACUGGUCAUCGGGACGCCAUGAAAAACCCGGCAAACCAGUCAACGUCCCGGGCGGGUACGGCAUAAGUUACCUCAGACCUCGACGUAGGCGGACAGCUCGGGCGGGAUGGUCGACUAAUGUACUCGUCCAUCCUCUCAAUGUCAUCCACUAUCGGCCGAGAGCAUGUGCUAGCCCCACUCAAGUCGGUCGUACUUCGGGAAUCCAUCUACCCUAAUGUAACAAACCCUAAGAUCUAUUAGUAUGCGCAGCCGGGAGCAAGCGCAAAGAAAGCAGAGUAACACAGCCUAAACUCAGAAAGCCCUAGAAUCCUAAAACUCCCAAUUUCACCCAACAAAACAUAUAGAAGCAACACAAACGUAGAAAAUGCCAAAGCAGAAGCAACAGAUACAAGCAUCAAUGCAGCAGAACAGAAUGAAGAAAACCUUACCAGAUUUUCGACGCAAUAGCAACACUGGAAAUUCAGAGGUCCGAAAACACCUCGCAAUCGCAGGAUUCGGUGGUGGCGUAGUGUGGGCAGACAAAAAGCAGGAAAAACUGAGAAAGAGGACAACGGAGAAACACAGAGGACAGCAGAGAAAACAGAAACACAGAGAAAGCAGAGAAGAGUGGAGUGAAAGAGUGAAGACGAAAACGAAAGGAGGGGGAAACAUUUAUACGGGGUAAGCGAGCAGUCACCUCGAUCCACGAACCGACGCAUUUAAAAACCCAUUACCCGAAAACAAGACACCCCUGGCCAUCCGAUCAAACCGCAGGAUGGCGCCAUGUAGCUUAACUGCCGUAGCGUCUUGAAGAAGGAAAGAGCGAAGCGACGCACAUUAAUUGCUUGACAGUUAUUCAGGAAUAUUGCGACAUCCGGCGAGCAUGCAUUUAAUGCCUCUGCCACAGCUGUGCGCAAACCCACCAAGCAUAAGACCUAUCUCGGGUAAGAGUCACCGAGAUCGUAAGACCAAGCAUAAGACCUAUCUCCGGUGAGAGUCACCGAGAUCGUAAGACGAAGCAUAAGACCUAUCUCAGGUUAGAGUCACCGAGAUCCUAAGACCUAUCUCGGUCUCGGGUGAGAGUCACCGAGAUCGUAAGACCUCUCUCGGGUGAGUCACAGAGAUCAUAAGACCCAGCAUAAGACCUAUCUCGGGUGAGAAUCACCGAGAUCGUAAGACCAAGCAUAAGACCUAUCUCGGGUGAGAGUCACUGAGAUUGUAAGACCCAGCAUAAGACCUAGCUCGAGUGAGAGUCACCGGGAGGAACCAUGUGAGAAUUGCCUCUCGAAAUUGUAAGUCCUGAAUACAUGUUCCCGGGAUGCUGGGGUAUUGCAAUUUAUAUCAUCCCUUUAAAAACGGAACAAGUGGCUUGAUAAACCACGGACGGCGUUAACACCCCGUCACUCGAGUAGUAACACCGGAUGAGGAAAGGGUUCGUUACCCUCGCCUAUAAACAUGUAACACCCGUUCAACCCACGUCCUGAGUCCGGACUUGGGGGGACUAUGGGCGGGAUCCACUUGAAACAUACUGGUCUACGGGCUUAUUUUAGCAAGCCCCCACUCAAGAUGUGUCUUGAACGGGAACUUGGGGGGACUUGUAGUCGGUUGUGCAUAAAACAAUCUCCCAAGCCCGUAAACCAACAGGCAUUCCACCAUUACCGAGGCCGCCCGAAGUAGCCACCAAUAAGCAGGGUGGGCCGGGCCCAACCUCAAUAGCAGUCUUGGGCCGGGAACAGUCUUGGAAGGUGUAAGGAAACUGGGAGUUUGAAGUAACAGCAAAGGGGAAUUGUCCCACAUCGGUUUCCAAGCAGAGGAAAGCCCACUCUGAGCCAUAAAUAUGGCCCAGCCACCAGUUUGUCAGGUAAUAAUAACUACCCCUAGUAACUACAUUCAACCAACUGAGACUGACUUAAUCUUCGGAGAAGGAAAGACCGGAAGUUCCCGGUCGCCCUUAUUGCAGGUCAACAAGAGGAUAGCCGAUCUUCCACCAGGCACAGUAUCAGCUUCUGCGAACCCGUCCGGGAUUGUACAGAAACACCGGGCAUAGCGACUUCCUUGGGUUUCGAUCCCCUAAACCUCCGGAGGGGCUGUACGGACUAGAGAAUGUCUAACAUCCUUUGAGGUGUGGCAUUACGCCUAGGCGGUAUAGCGUAAACGGACACUCGCUACUCUUCACCAGUUGUGGAGGACAAAGAUCUUCGGUGAAGUGGUAGUUGGCUAAAGGUAGACCGGUCAUCAGGUUUGGAUUUUUACCUAGGUACUCUUAGAUUUUCAGUUGGUUUUACAUUGGAAAAUCUUAUUUCAGUUUAUUUACUUUUUAUUCAACUGGCGCCUAUUAUUAUUAUUAUUUGGUUUUCAAACCUAGCUUGGGUGAUGUUUGAGCAGCGAGGAUGAAAGCUCACCCCUACUAUAGUUGCUCUUGCAGGUACUGUGCACGAGGAGAGGAUUCGGGACUGAGCUGGGUGUGGUGUUUUCACCCUAAAACUUGUUGGUAUAUUUGCACUCAUAUAUUCAAUUUCUUCUGUUCUAAUUGUUAUUGUUAAAUUGAGAUGAAGGUUUUGUUGUAAUGAUAUCCAUAUGUUCCUUUUAUCUUUAUUUAGUGUGAACUGAGUAUUUUGAGAUCAAUUUGAAUUUCAUGAUUCUUAUUCUCCAUUGUUCUAACAUGAUGGUUCCACCACUUUGUUGAUUGACAGAAGUUGUUAUAAAUUGCUGAUUAAGUUUUGAUUCACUUUAGUAUGUUUUCAAAUUACACUUAAAAAUGUUUCUAGUUAUUGCAUUUUUAACAAACAGGAACAAAAUAUUUAUUUUCACCUCGCCUUAAGCUAUACGCUUUCCGCCAACUCUUACUAUUUCUAAAGUUUCGGUUUUAGUAAAUUUGCCUUGCGUUUCUUUAGAACCCGUGUUAAGCUUCUUAACUUAUGUUUCUAAAGGUUCGCUGCAUUGUAACGUACUUGAUUUGGAGAGGUGCAAAUUGGGGC
rnacentral:lncRNA from 1 species